UACGGAGGGUGCAAGCGUUGUCCGGAAUCACUGGGCGUAAAGGGCGCGUAGGCGGCUCGGUAAGUAGGGGGUGAAAUCCUGCGGCUUAACCGCAGGGCUGCCUUCUAAACUGUCGAGCUUGAGCACGGUAGAGGCAGAUGGAAUUCCCGGUGUAGCGGUGAAAUGCGUAGAUAUCUGGAGGAACACCGGUGGCGAAGGCGGCAUCCUGGACCGGUAUUGACGCUGAGGCGCGAAAGCUAGGGGAGCAAACGGG
rnacentral:rRNA from 1 species